UCACGCAUCCGAGACUCCGGUCACGUGGGAAGAAACCCGGAAGUAUCGCCGUGAAUCACAUGAGAGUUGCAAAUGCGAUGUUGUGUAUUAGGCUGUACAUCAUAUUAACGUAAAGAGAGUGAUAAUAUAUAUCCUUUCAUCUAUUCCCGAGUGACUCAAAGGGAUAUUGGACCUUAUUUUCAGAUUACAGACAACACGAGAGGGUGCUCCAAACUUUUUAAUCAGGACUGCAUUGUUUGUUCGCUCCCGGGGUUACAUAGAUUGAAACGGGGAAGCGUGACGAGUUUGUUUACAUGGUGCUGUAAACUCCAACUACAGGAGGACACUUCAGAGGAAUCAAGGUGUCUGUGAUGUUGAAACACUAAAGGAAGAAGAGGAGGACCACCAUUUGUUUCCUGAUCAGAACACAAGAGAAGA